AAAAGAAAAGGAUGACAAAAUUAUCUGUCAGGCUACAAUAAUUCAUUCCGGACUUGAGAUGAAUUGAAGUCCCACUGCCUUCCUUCUAUCAAAAAACUAUAAUCUCUGAAAGUAUCAACAGACCCAACACCAGAGAAAUUCACAAGAGCUUCAUGGCUCCCGUCCCUUCCCAUAUUCUCCUUCACAGCUUGCAUCAAAUUCAUUCCAGUCCUUGAGAUUGUGAGUACACAAAACAUUAUCUGGCUGGUUUCAGUUUUCACUCAAUAAUAUUCACAAUUCUAGCUAAAAUGGUGAUGAGCCAUGUCAGUCAAUCAUAAACUUGACAUUUGUGGUCGAAACAUUUUCAUGCUAUAAAACUAUUUUUCUUUUUUUGGUGUCAGGCAGAUGCCUUCUGCCUCUACUCUUGAAAUUUUUUUAUGCUAGGGUUAGCAUUUUCUGGUAACUAUGCGUCAAAUAGAAUAGUGAGGGUCCCAAGAGAGCAAAAAAAUCUAUCUCUAUCAGUAGUUGCAAAAGAUUAAAAAAGAAAGUGAUGGCUCCCAUCACUGCACUACUGAAAUGAUGUAAAGUAAAAAGACAAGGAACACAUUAAAGAAGCAAUUCCAAAGGCAGAAUCAUUUGCCCAGGUAACAAUAAUUGCGGACUUGAAUUUAUUUGGAGUCCAACUGUCUUUAUCUUUAUAUAAACUGGAAUCUCAGGCAUGAAGGGAACAUGUAACCAGAGAAAUUCUUUAGAGUUUCCUGAUCCUUCCCUCCUCUAAAUCACCAUCGGCAUUCUCGUCUAACUUCAGCAAAGCUUAUUCCAGUCUCCAAUCUGUAUCAAGAGAACAUGUAACCAGAGAAAUUCUUAAGAGUUUCCUGAUCCGUCCCGUCUCUAAGUCGUCUUUGGCAUUCUCGUCUAAUUGCAGCAAAGCUUAUUCCAGUCCCCGUUUAGCGUAGCAUCUUCUUCACUCGAAUCACUGCCAGUUUAAUCAUCUGCAGAGGGAAAUGAGUGUCCAUAGAAUUGGUUAUUUGGUGGAAGAUGCACGGGUGAAACCAUAUAGCAGCAACAGCAGCAGCAGCAUGCAGUUGGCAGGAGGAAAAGGAAAGCAAGCUGCCCAAGUGCAUGAAUGGACUACGAGGACCAAGCACGAGGACAAGCAGAGUGGUGCUUAUAGACGCUGCACUGCGAAGGAGUAGGUCUCAACCUGGGACACGUAUGUGGAGCCGGGGAGUGGUCGAGUCGGGGUGAAGGAUGAGUGCAAGAGGAGCUCUACUGUCAAGAUCGGUAACAAAAAGGGCUAUACUGAGUACUGCAAGGAGGAGACAUUUCGAAAAGUAGACUUCGGAGACUACAAAAAAACCCCGUAUUCAACUUAUGAUCGUAGCUACAACAGCAAGAACCAGUUGACUUACGAUCAUGACUAUUAUUCCGACGAUGACUCAAUGUAGUUGAGAUCAGUUCAUGUUUCGCCCCUUUCUUUCAGCUAGCUGCAUUGUUUUGGGGUUUGCUACUUUUAUUUUAGUUUCUUGAAUUUGCUUUCUAAUUCUCCGGGGUAGGGGUUUUCUUUGGUUCAGUAAGUACUCUUCUGUUAGCUGAGAGUUGCUGGAUUUUGAUGGCAAAACAUAUCAAUGUGAAACUUAAUUUUGUGUGAGAAAAAAAAAAUUCCUCGUCAAA